rnacentral:rRNA from 1 species
ACGGAAGGCAGCAGUGGGGAAUAUUGCACAAUGGGCGCAAGCCUGAUGCAGCGAUGCCGCGUGAGGGAAGAAGGUUUUCGGAUUGUAAACCUCUGUCAUCGGGGACGAUAAUGACUGUACCCGAGAAGGAAGCUCCGGCUAACUACGUGCCAGCAGCCGCGGUAAUACGUAGGGAGCGAGCGUUAUCCGGAAUUACUGGGUGUAAAGGGAGUGUAGGCGGGACUGUAAGUCAGAUGUGAAAUAUACCGGCUCAACUGGUAGACUGCAUUUGAAACUGCGGUUCUUGAGUGAAGUAGAGGUAAGCGGAAUUCCUAGUGUAGCGGUGAAAUGCGUAGAUAUUAGGAGGAACACCAGUGGCGAAGGCGGCUUACUGGACUGUAACUGACGUUGAGGCUCGAAAGCGUGGGGAGCAAACAGGAUUAGAUACCCUGGUA